rnacentral:rRNA from 1 species
CCUACGGGAGGCUGCAGUGAGGAAUAUUGGUCAAUGGACGCAAGUCUGAACCAGCCAUGCCGCGUGCAGGAAGACGGUUUUCGGAUUGUACACUUCUGUUCUUAGUGAAGAAUAAUGACGGUAGCUAAGGAGCAAGCCACGGCUAACUACGUGCCAGCAGCCGCGGUAAUACGUAGGUGGCAAGCGUUGUCCGGAAUUACUGGGUGAAAAGGGCGCGCAGGCGGGAAGCCAAGUCAGCUGUGAAAACUACGGGCUUAACUUGUAGACUGCAUGUGCAACUGGGUUUCUUGAGUGAAGUAGAGGUUGGCGGAAUUCCGAGGGUAGCGGUGAAAUGCGUAGAGAUUCGGAGGAACACCGGUGGCGAAGGCGGCCAACUGGGCUUUAACUGACGCUGAGGCUCGAAAGUGUGGGGAGCAAACAGGAUUAGAUACCCGUGUAGUC